GAUGAAGAACGCAGCGAAAUGCGAUACUUGGUGUGAAUUGCAGAAUCCCGUGAACCAUCGAGUCUUUGAACGCAAGUUGCGCCCGAAGCCAUCAGGUUGAGGGCACGUCUGCCUGGGCGUCACAUAUCGUUGCCCAAUGCCUAUUGCAGUGCAAUAGGAAUUUCUAGGGCGAAUGAUGGCUUCCCGUGAGCGUUAUUGCCUCGCGGUUGGUUGAAAAUCGAGUCCUUGGUAGGGUGUGCCAUGGUAGAAGGUGGUCGAGUUAGAACGAUACCGAUCAUGUGCAUGCUCCCCAAAAUAUGGCCUCUAUGACCCACACGCGUCUUUUGACGCUCAUGACGAGACCUCAGGUCAGGCGGGGCUACCCGCUGAAUUUAAGCAUAUCAAUAAGCGGAGGA
rnacentral:misc_RNA from 1 species